AGAGUUUGAUUAUGGCUCAGGACGAACGCUGGCGGCACGCCUAACACAUGCAAGUCGAACGGUGAAGGGGGAGCUUGCUCCUCCGGAACAGUGGCGGACGGGUGAGUAACACGUGAGCAACCUGCCUUUCAGAGGGGGACAACAGUUGGAAACGACUGCUAAUACCGCAUAAUGUAUUUUGGCGGCAUCGCCGGAAUACCAAAGGAGCAAUCCGCUGAAAGAUGGGCUCGCGUCUGAUUAGAUAGUUGGUGAGGUAACGGCUCACCAAGUCGACGAUCAGUAGCCGGACUGAGAGGUUGAACGGCCACAUUGGGACUGAGACACGGCCCAGACUCCUACGGGAGGCAGCAGUGGGGGAUAUUGGACAAUGGGGGAAACCCUGAUCCAGCGAUGCCGCGUGAGGGAAGAAGGUUUUCGGAUUGUANACCUCUGUGGAGGGGGACGAUAAUGACGGUACCCCUUUACGAAGCCACGGCUAACUACGUGCCAGCAACCGCGGUAAU
rnacentral:rRNA from 1 species